rnacentral:rRNA from 1 species
UGCGGAGGGUCCAAGCGUUAUCCGGAAUCAUUGGGUUUAAAGGGUCCGUAGGCGGUUUUGUAAGUCAGUGGUGAAAGCCCAUCGCUCAACGGUGGAACGGCCAUUGAUACUGCAAAACUUGAAUUAUUGGGAAGUAACUAGAAUAUGUAGUGUAGCGGUGAAAUGCUUAGAUAAUUACAUGGAAUACCAAUUGCGAAGGCAGGUUACUAUCAAUAUAUUGACGCUGAUGGACGAAAGCGUGGGGAGCGAACAGG